UUAGCCUACGGGACGCAGCAGUGGGGGAUAUUGCACAAUGGGGGGAACCCUGAUGCAGCGACGCCGCGUGGGUGAAGGAGUGCUUCGGCAUGUAAAGCCCUAUCGGCAGGGAAGAAGCAAGACGGGACCUGACUAAGAAGCCCCGGCUAACUACGUGCCAGCAGCCGCGGUAAUACGUAGGGGGCGAGCGUUAUCCGGAUUCACUGGGUGUAAAGGGAGCGUAGACGGCCAAGCAAGCCAGGGGAGAAAGCCCGGGGCCCAACACCGGGACUGCCCUUGGAACUGCAUGGCUGGAGGGCGGGAGG
rnacentral:rRNA from 1 species